GCGUGAGUGAAGAAGGUCUUCGGAUUGUAAAACUCUUUCGUUGGGGACGAUAAUGACUGUACCCAAAGAAGAAGCCCCGGCUAACUUCGUGCCAGCAGCCGCGGUAAUACGAAGGGGGCUAGCGUUGUUCGGAAUUACUGGGCGUAAAGCGCGCGUAGGCGGAUCGUUAAGUCGGAGGUGAAAUCCCUGGGCUCAACCCAGGAACUGCCCUCGAUACUGGCGAUCUUGAGGAUGAGAGAGGCGAGUGGAAUUCCGAGUGUAGCAGUGAAAUGCGU
rnacentral:rRNA from 1 species